rnacentral:rRNA from 1 species
CUAGUAAUCGCGGAUCAGCAUGCCGCGGUGAAUACGUUCCCGGGCCUUGUACACACCGCCCGUCACACCAUGAGAGCCGGGAACACCCGAAGUCCGUAGUCUAACCAUUAAGGAGGACGCGGCCGAAGGUGGGUUUGGUAAUUGGGGUGAAGUCGUAACAAGGUAAC